rnacentral:rRNA from 1 species
GAUGAACGCUGGCGGCGUGCCUAAUACAUGCAAGUCGAGCGAACAGAUGAGGAGCUUGCUCCUCUGACGUUAGCGGCGGACGGGUGAGUAACACGUGGAUAACCUACCUAUAAGACUGGGAUAACUUCGGGAAACCGGAGCUAAUACCGGAUAAUAUAUUGAACCGCAUGGUUCAAUAGUGAAAGACGGUUUUGCUGUCACUUAUAGAUGGAUCCGCGCCGCAUUAGCUAGUUGGUAAGGUAACGGCUUACCAAGGCAACGAUGCGUAGCCGACCUGAGAGGGUGAUCGGCCACACUGGAACUGAGACACGGUCCAGACUCCUACGGGAGGCAGCAGUAGGGAAUCUUCCGCAAUGGGCGAAAGCCUGACGGAGCAACGCCGCGUGAGUGAUGAAGGUCUUCGGAUCGUAAACCUCUGUUAUUAGGGAAGAACAAAUGUGUAAGUAACUAUGCACGUCUUGACGGUACCUAAUCAGAAGGCCACGGCUAACUACGUG